rnacentral:pre_miRNA from 1 species
UCGCUGCUCCCACGUUGAGGUAGUUGGUUGUAUAGUAUUAAAAAUUCAAUAUCUACUAUGCAAUCCGCUAGCUUAACUUGUGAGGGCGCCU